UAUAAUUAUCAGUAAAUUUAUCAUCAACCAAGCUUUUAUAAUCCAUAAAGAAGCAUGUGCAUGAGGUUUGAUUCUGGUUUAGAGUCACUUACUGCUUUCAAAUAAAGUAAUCAGUUCAUAGUAUCAUAGUCGUAAAUAGGAAUAAAUUACAAGGGUGGUCAGCAAAAAAUAUAGGAAUCUAUACAUAUUUGUACAUGGUGAAAUUUGCAAGACAUUCUGUCAUAGGAUUGGAAUGUUCAUACCUAGUUUUUUUUUAGUUGUACCCUAGCAUAGCCAUGGUCGACCCUUGAGAACUGGGGUAGCAGGUGCUUAAGAAAACCCCAUGACUAAAUGAUUGAGAUGAUAUUGCGGCACACUUUACCGCCGCGCUCAACCAGGUGUUGUAAGCUACAGGUGUUGUAGGCUACAGGUGUUGUGGGCUACAGGUGUUGUAGGCUACAGGUGUUGUAUGCUACAGGUGUUGUAGGCUACAGGUGUUGUGGGCUACAGGUGUUGUAUGCUACAGGUGUUGUAGGCUACAGGUGUUGUGGGCUACAGGUGUUGUAGGCUACAGGUGUUGUGGGCUACAGGUGUUGUAGGCUACAGGUGUUGUAGGCUACAGGUGUUGUGGGCUACAGGUGUUGUAGGCUACAGGUGUUGUAGGCUACAGGUGUUGUAGGCUACAGGUGUUGUAGGCUACAGGUGUUGUAGGCUACAGGUGUUGUAGGCUACAGGUGUUGUGGGCUACAGGUGUUGUGGGCUACAGGUGUUGUAUGCUACAGGUGUUGUGGGCUACAGGUGUUGUAGGCUACAGGUGUUGUAAGCUACAGGUGUUGUAGGCUACAGGUGUUGUAGGCUAAAGGGCAAUAUCAUUUGAUAGCUCGGGACAGAUAAAGUGUGAGGCAGAUUUUUGUACACUUUCUACAAGAAGCCAGAAAUAAUCUGGCAGGUUAUCCAUACUGGAGACACAUAUUCGAGGAUAGACUACGAUAAACUAAAACGAUAACAAACAAUAAACUAAAACGACUCAGAGUUUUGCAUUGCUGUGCAGUUCUGAUAUAUAGAGUUUGACUCUAAAA